rnacentral:rRNA from 1 species
UGCCAGACUCCUACGGGAGGCAGCAGUGGGGAAUAUUGGGCAAUGGGCGCAAGCCUGACCCAGCGACGCCGCGCGAGGGAAGACGGUCUUCGGAUUGUAAACCUCUUUCAGCAGGGAAGACGAAAGGACGGUACCUGCAGAAGAAGCCACGGCUAACUACGUGCCAGCAGCCGCGGUAAUACGGAGGAUGCGAGCGUUAUCCGGAUUUAUUGGGUUUAAAGGGUGCGCAGGCGGCACGGCAAGCCGGCGGUCAAAUCGCGGGGCUCAACCCCGCCCAGCCGUCGGAACUGCCGGGCUAGAGUGGGCGAGAAGUGCGCGGAAUGCGUGGUGUAGCGGUGAAAUGCAUAGAUAUCACGCAGAACUCCGAUUGCGAAGGCAGCGCACCGGCGCCCUACUGACGCUCAGGCACGAAAGCGUGGGUAUCGAACAGGAUUAGAUACCCUUGUAAC